UGGGGAAUAUUGGACAAUGGGGGCAACCCUGAUCCAGCCAUGCCGCGUGAGUGAUGAAGGCCUUAGGGUUGUAAAGCUCUUUCGCACGCGACGAUGAUGACGGUAGCGUGAGAAGAAGCCCCGGCUAACUUCGUGCCAGCAGCCGCGGUAAUACGAAGGGGGCAAGCGUUGUUCGGAAUUACUGGGCGUAAAGCGCACGCAGGCGGCGUGACGCGUCAGGAGUGAAAUCCCCGGGCUCAACCUGGGAACUGCUUUUGAAACGGUCAUGCUAGAAUCAUGGAGAGGGUAGCGGAAUUCCGAGUGUAGAGGUGAAAUUCGUAGAUAUUCGGAAGAACACCGGUGGCGAAGGCGGCUACCUGGCCAUGUAUUGACGCUCAGGUGCGAAAGCGUGGGGAGCAAACA
rnacentral:rRNA from 1 species